rnacentral:rRNA from 1 species
GCCUGCUGUAGCGCCACUGACGCUGAUGCUCGAAAGCGUGGGUAUCGAACAGGAUUAGAUACCCUGGUAGUCCACGCGGUAAACGAUGGAUGCUCGCUGUGUGCCUAUUAGGUACGUGGCCAAGGGAAACCAUUAAGCAUCCCACCUGGGGAGUACGCCGGCAACGGUGAAACUCAAAGGAAUUGACGGGGGCCCGCACAAGCGGAGGAACAUGUGGUUUAAUUCGAUGAUACGCGAGGAACCUUACCCGGGCUUGAACUGCCAGCGUACGAUUCAGAGAUGAUGAGGCCCUUCGGGGCGCUGGUGGAGGUGCUGCAUGGUUGUCGUCAGCUCGUGCCGUGAGGUGUCGGCUUAAGUGCCAUAACGAGCGCAACCCCUUUCGUCAGUUGCCAUCAGGUAAAGCUGGGCACUCUGGCGACACUGCCACCGUAAGGUGUGAGGAAGGUGGGGAUGACGUCAAAUCAGCACGGCCCUUACGUCCGGGGCUACACACGUGUUACAAUGGCGCAUACAGAGAGUCGGUCCUGCGCAAGCAGGGUCUAAUCAUGAAAGUGCGUCGUAGUUCGGACUGGGGUCUGCAACCCGACCCCACGAAGCUGGA